AGCAGCCGCGGUAAUUCCAGCUCCAAUAGCGUAUAUUAAAGUUGUUGCAGUUAAAAGCUCGUAGUUGAAUUUCGGAGUUCUACCGUCGGUCGGGCUACCAAGUCUGUACUGGUGUGUAGAAUUCCUACCUUCUGGGGAACUAUCAUGUUAUUAAUUUAGCGUGGUGGGAAACCAGGACCUUUACCUUGAAAAAUUAGAGUGUUACAAAGCAGGCAUAUGUCUGAAUACAUUAGCAUGGAAUAAUAGAAUAGGACGGUGGUCCUGUUUGU
rnacentral:misc_RNA from 1 species